GUUCUCUAAAGGUUCUGGUUCUGUCGUGUCUCUUUGCAGCCUGUGAAGGUUCUGGUUCUCUAAAGGUUCUGGUUCUCUGAAGGUUCUGGUUCUCUAAAGGUUCUGGUUCUGUUGUGUCUCUUUGCAGCCUGUGAAGGUUCUGGUUCUCUGAAGGUUCUGGUUCUGUCGUAUCUCUGCAGCCUGUGAAGGUUCUGGUUCUCUGAAGGUUCUGGUUCUCUAAAGGUUCCGGUUCUGUCGUCUCUCUGCAGCCUGUGAAUGUUCUAGUUCUCUAAAGGUUCUGGUUCUCUGAAGGUUCUGGUUCUGCAGCCUGUGAAGGUUCUGGUUCUCUGAAGGUUC